ensembl:lncRNA
GCUGAAGUCUGACAUUGGCUUGAAUCGCACAGUCAGAUCCAAACUUUUAAACAAACCACUGUGCAGAUAUUAACUUCCCCGGGCUCCUGAGAACACAAUCCAGACCUGCUGGACGUGAGGCGAGAUCCCGUAUCUGGAGGCAGAGACGACUUGGGACUGCAGAGUGCACUCAGACACUGAGUUGACCAGCGGUCCCCGCCAGCCCCGAGCUGAGUCCACUCUCUGGCUCUUUCGCCUCCAUGACCUUCCCCAGGAGAAAAAAACAAUUCCUGCCUUUAAUAUUCACAUCAGCUUCUGUGGGUCAUAAGACAAGGGCAGUCUGAGUUUUCAGGAUCUUCACAGGCCCGGAGCAUCAUCUUCUAUUGAUUCUUGUAAGAGCAGAUGACGGCAGCUCAAGAAGAAACAGCUUUGAAUCCUGCUCCAGCAGUCAGAUCAGGCUACCAGGAAAGAGAAAAAUAAGUGAAAACCUGUUUUCAUUGCCUCCUGGACCAAAGUGGGAGAGAGGAAGAGAGGCCCACCAGAGGGCUCCAGAAUCACUGCAGAUGGUGACUGCAGCCAUGAAAUUAAAAGACGCUUACUCCUUGGAAGGAAAGUUAUGACCAACCUAGACAGCAUAUUCAAAAGCAGAGACAUUACUUUACCAACAAAGAUCCGUCUAGCCAAGGCUGUGGUUUUUCCAGUAGUCAUGUAUGGAUGUGAGAGUUGGACUCUAAAGAAAGCUGAGUGCUGAAGAAUUGAUGCUUUUGAAC